CCUACGAGAGGCAGCAGUGAGGAAUAUUGGUCAAUGGGCGGAAGCCUGAACCAGCCAAGUAGCGUGCAGGAUGAAGGCCCUACGGGUUGUAAACUGCUUUUAUACGGGAAUAACGCGCCUUACGUGUAGGGCUUUGCAUGUACCGUAUGAAUAAGCACCGGCUAAUUCCGUGCCAGCAGCCGCGGUAAUACGGAAGAUCCGGGCGUUAUCCGGAUUUAUUGGGUUUAAAGGGGGCGUAGGCCGAAUGGCAAGCGUGCGGGUAAAUGUCCGGGCUCAACCCGGGCCUGGCAGUGCGAACUGGCGUGCUUGAGUCCGCGGAAAGCAGGCGGAAUUCGUGGUGUAGCGGUGAAAUGCUUAGAUAUGACGAAGAACCCCGAUUGCGAAGGCAGCUUGCUGCAGCGGAACUGACGCUGAGGCUCGAAAGCGCGGGUAUCGAACAGGAUUAGAUACCCUAGUAGUC
rnacentral:rRNA from 1 species